UCAGUUCGGAUUNUAGGCUGAAACUCGCCUACAUGAAGCUGGAGUUACUAGUAAUCGCAGAUCAGAAUGCUGCGGUGAAUGCGUUCCCGGGUCUUGUACACACCGCCCGUCACACCACGGAAGUUGGGGGCGCCCGAAGCCACUUAGCUAACCCUUUUGGGAAGCGAGUGUCGAAGGUGAAAUCAAUAACUGGGGUGAAGUCGUAACAAGGUACC
rnacentral:rRNA from 1 species